UGGGUAUCUUCUUGUGUCUUUUGAUUUUUUCUAGCUUUAUUGAAAUGUAAUUGACAUGCAACAUUAUGUAAGUUUAAGGUAUGCAAAGUGUUGAUUUGAUACACUUAUAUAUUGCAGAAUGAUUACCACCACAGCAUUAGCUAACACUUUUAUCCCAUCACAUAAUUACCAUUUCCUUUUUGUGGUGAGACUAUUUAAGAUCUAUUCUCUUAGCAACUUUUAAGUAUAUAGUACAGUAUUAUUAGCUACAAUCACCAUACUAUACUUUAGGUCCCUGCAUCUUAUUCAUCUCAUAGCAGGAAAUUUGUAUUCUUUGACUGACAUUUUCACAUUUCUUCCAUCCCCUAAACCCCUGGAAACUAUCAUUCUACUCUCUGCCUCUAAUAGUUCAGCUGUUUUAGAUUUCACAUACAAGUGACAUCUUACCUAGCAUAAUGCGUCAGAGUCUAUCCAUGCUGCCACAAAUGGCAAGAUCUCCUUUCUAGUGGCUGAAUAAUAUUCUUACACACACACACGCACACAGAGACAAACAGGUGUGAGGUGGUAUUUCAUUAUGGGUUGAUUUGCAUUUUCCCCAGGAUUAGUAAUGUGGACGACCUUUUUACGUACCUGUUGGCCAUUUGUAUGUCUUCUUUUCUCUGGAUAAAUGUCUAUUCAGAUCCUCUGUCCACUUUUUUAUCCCUUUUUUUCUCCUACUGGAGUUUGCUAGACUCAAGUCCAACUCCUGCAGCUUUAAUAGAAGACUUAAUCUGACAGAAAUCAUCCUACAAUUACAUUUUAGAGAUUGUUUUCACUUUUCUCCACCUCCCUAACAAGACUCUGCUUCAGUUAGAUUUAUUAGAAUCAUAGCCAGUUUUCUGGCUGUUUGGUCAAGUCCUGGGAGCCUUCUUCCCUAAUGUUCUACCUUUCCUUCCUACGUCUUACAGUUUCAGGGGCACUCUAAUCCUAAAGAGUAAACUCCACCCUCAGUUUAGACACUGUGCAUGACAGAAAUAACAAUACGGGUAAUGAUGAAAAUGAUAAUAGUGAACAUUUAUAGAGUUCUUUUCAUAUACCAGGUAAUAGGUAAUGUUUAAUUCUGUUCCAUAGAGUGAAGGUACUAUUAUGAUUCCCAUUUCACAAGUGAAGAAACAGAGGCACAGACAAGUUAAGCACCUUGUCUUCCUCGGUGGUCUCCCAUCCAAGUACUAACCAGGCCCGACCCUGCUUAGCUUCUGAGAUCAGACGGGAUCAGGCUUGUUCAGGGUAGCAUGGCCAUAGACUCUUCAACUUAUUUGGAGAGGAAUUUUGAUACCAGUUUUGACUACUGAAGACUUACUUGUAACAAUGUAUUUUAUAUUAUUAAUGUAUAUUUUUAAUAAACAAGAUUAUAUAUGUACCUUAA